AGAGGUGUUGCUGCUACUUUCCGUUUCGCCUGACAUAUCUUACUUUUCUCUGUCUUCUGAGAGAAUUCUGACUCCAGCAAGGGUGGGAAGUGAUAUCUCAAAGCAUCUUAGCUCAUCGCUAUACACAUGUUCAGUGUAAUUCUCUCCUUAAUCUCCGACUCUACAUACAGCCACACACCUCGUUUUCGUUUGAGGUAUGUAUAUCCAUGUAAAUCAUAAGCUCUAGCCUCUUCUAUAACCGUAAAAUUGGCUUUAGCUGCUUCAGU